AAAAAAUGGCAGGGGAGAUACCAUAAUCACUAAGGAGGUUCUCCCAGGGCGAGGCUCAUCCAUUGCUGACCCCUGCAAUUUCCCCAAAUGCAAGAAACUCGAUUACAUAUUUUGUGGUAGUGGGGGAGUGCGUUCGCACUCUCCCCUG
rnacentral:snRNA from 1 species